rnacentral:rRNA from 1 species
UACGUAGGGCGCAAGCGUUGUCCGGAAUUAUUGGGCGUAAAGAGCUCGUAGGUGGCUUGUCACGUCGGGUGUGAAAGCUUGGGGCUUAACUCCAGGUCUGCAUUCGAUACGGGCAGACUGGAGGUAUGCAGGGGAGAACGGAAUUCCUGGUGUAGCGGUGAAAUGCGCAGAUAUCAGGAGGAACACCGGUGGCGAAGGCGGCAUCCUGGACCGACAUUGACGCUGAACGGCGAAAGCUAGGGGAGCAAACGGG